rfam:Chlorocebus sabaeus isolate 1994-021 chromosome 1, whole genome shotgun sequence.
GCCGGGCGCGGUGGCUCAAGCCUGUAAUCCCAGCACUUUGGGAGGCCGAGGCGGGCGGAUCACGAGGUCAGAAGAUCGAGACCAUCCUGGCUAACACGGUGAAACCCCAUCUCUACUAAAAAGUGCAAAAAACUAGCCGNNNNNNNNNNCGGCUAGUUUUUUGCACUUUUUAGUAGAGAUGGGGUUUCACCGUGUUAGCCAGGAUGCUCUCGAUCUCCUGACCUCGUGAUCUGCCCGUCUCGG